rnacentral:rRNA from 1 species
GAUGAACGCUGGCGGCGUGCCUAAUACAUGCAAGUCGAGCGAACGGACGAGAAGCUUGCUUUUCUGAUGUUAGCGGCGGACGGGUGAGUAACACGUGGAUAACCUACCUAUAAGACUGGGAUAACUUCGGGAAACCGGAGCUAAUACCGGAUAAUAUUUUGAACCGCAUGGUUCAAAAGUGAAAGACGGUCUUGCUGUCACUUAUAGAUGGAUCCGCGCUGCAUUAGCUAGUUGGUAAGGUAACGGCUUACCAAGGCAACGAUGCAUAGCCGACCUGAGAGGGUGAUCGGCCACCCUGGAACUUGGACACGGUCCCGACUCCUACGGGAGGCAGCAGUAGGGAAUCUUCCGCAAUGGGCGAAAGCCUGACGGAGCAACGCCGCGUGAGUGAUGAAGGUCUUCGGAUCGUAAAACUCUGUUAUUAGGGAAGAACAUAUGUGUAAGUAACUGUGCACAUCUUGACGGUACCUAAUCAGAAAGCCACGGCUAACUACGUG